UUAGUGCACCAAGCAAAGGUGAAUCGUACACAGAGAAUCAUAUAGGCCAUAGGGGAGACCAUAAUUCCUGAAGCAUAUUCAGCCUUGUAAGUCGUGGGUCUAGAAAUAGACAAAAUGCAGAUGACGACGUGUUUAACGUCACGGAAGUCAAUACAAAAGAAUCGCUAAAGGUGAGAUUCUUGAGGGUCUGUCGGGGUCCUAUAACA
rfam:Alkaliphilus metalliredigens QYMF, complete genome.